AAUAAGUUGAAAAGUUUGGAAAGAUAUGUGAAUUUCCGUGUCAAGUUUCGGGACGAAACUUCUUUUAAGAGGGGUAGAUUGUAAUCCCCCGUAAUUUUAUUAUAUUUUAUUUAUAUACUUUAACGUAUAUUUAAUAUAUUUAAAUGUAAAUUUACGAAUUUUAGAAAUGAAUAUGUAAUUAAAAUAUAAUUAUGUUAUUACAUUUUGAAUAUUUUAAAUAAUUUAUGAAAUCAAAAUUGAUUUUUGAAUUUUACGUUGAAACGAAUUCGGAUUUUGAAAUCACGUUCUAUUGAAAUUAGAAAGCAAAUCCUAAAUUCUAAAUUCUACUCCUAGCCCAAUUGGGCAAAGCCCAAACCAACAAAACCCCAAAACCAUACUCCCUUCUCUUUUCUAAUUCAUGUAAAACAAAAUAAAACCCUCCUUCUCUUCUCCUUCCUCAUUCACGUGAAACAAAAAAAAGAAAAAAAGAAAUAGAGCUUCUUCAUCCUCUCGACACAGCAGCCUCAGCAACCACCACCGCGCCGCCGUUCCAACCACCGACCGCCGUUCGCAUCACCGCGCCCAGCCACCGUCGCCGGUGAACCUCUGCCGCGCCCAGCCACCGUCGCCGGUGAACCUCUGCCGCGAGCCACCGCCGUCCCGCCGUCCAGCCCUUCUCUCUCCUUAAUCCUUGGCGGAGAAUUCUCUUUAGGCGACUUUUGUAAGUGUUAAAGUGGCCUAUCAGUUUGUUUACACAAGUCUCUAAGGAUCAAUAAGCAUUGUCCAUCUGCAGGUUUGAAGAUGUUGCAUCAUUGGGAUCGGGAAUAGAGAGCUUGUAUUUAGUUUUGAUUUGCUAAGUUGACUUGGGUUUGUUUAAUUGGACUUUAAACUUGUCGUACUAUUUACAUUUCCUUAUUUUCGUUGGUUGA